rnacentral:rRNA from 1 species
UACGGUGGGUGCAAGCGUUAAUCGGAAUUACUGGGCGUAAAGCGCACGCAGGCGGUUAAUUAAGUUAGAUGUGAAAUCCCCGGGCUCAACCCGGGAACUGCAUUCGAAACCGGCAGGCUAGAGUCUUGUAGAGGGGGGUAGAAUUCCAGGUGUAGCGGUGAAAUGCGUAGAGAUCUGGAGGAAUACCGGUGGCGAAGGCGGCCCCCUGGACAAAGACUGACGCUCAGGUGCGAAAGCGUGGGGAGCAAACAGG